AAAUGCGAUAAGUAAUGUGAAUUGCAGAAUUCAGUGAAUCAUCGAAUCUUUGAACGCACAUUGCGCCCGCCAGUAUUCUGGCGGGCAUGCCUGUUCGAGCGUCAUUUCAACCAUCAAGCCCCCGGCUUGUGUUGGGGACCUGCGGCUGCCCGCAGGCCCUGAAAAACAGUGGCGGGCUCGCUGUCACACCGAGCGUAGUAGCAUACAUUCUCGCUCAGGGCGUGCUGCGGGUUCCGGCCGUUAAACGACCUUCAUAACCCAAGGUUGAUCUCGGAUCAGGUAGGAAGACCCGCUGAACUUAAGC
rnacentral:misc_RNA from 1 species